AACGAACGCUGGCGGCAUGCCUAACACAUGCAAGUCGAACGAAGCCUUCGGGCUUAGUGGCGGACGGGUGAGUAACACGUGGGAACGUACCUUUUGGUUCGGAACAACUCAGGGAAACUUGAGCUAAUACCGGAUGAGCCCUUAGGGGGAAAGAUUUAUCGCCGAAAGAGCGGCCCGCGUUAGAUUAGCUAGUUGGUGAGGUAAAGGCUCACCAAGGCUACGAUCUAUAGCUGGUCUGAGAGGAUGAUCAGCCACACUGGGACUGAGACACGGCCCAGACUCCUACGGGAGGCAGCAGUGGGGAAUCUUGCGCAAUGGGCGAAAGCCUGACGCAGCCAUGCCGCGUGAAUGAUGAAGGUCUUAGGAUUGUAAAAUUCUUUUACCAGGGACGAUAAUGACGGUACCUGGAGAAAAAGCCCCGGCUAACUUCGUGCCAGCCGCCGCCGUAAAAC
rnacentral:rRNA from 1 species